UUUGUAGCCUGUUAUGGUAUUAUUUUUGUGGCAGACGGGGUGAGUAAUGUAUAGGAAUCUACCUAGUAGUACGGAAUAAUUGUUGGAAACGACAACUAAUACCGUAUACGCCCUACGGGGGAAAAAUUUAUUGCUAUUAGAUGAGCCUAUAUUAGAUUAGCUAGUUGGUGGGGUAAUAGCCUACCAAGGUAAUGAUCUAUAGCUGAUCUGAGAGGAUGAUCAGCCACACUGGAACUGAGAUACGGUCCAGACUCCUACGGGAGGCAGCAGUGGGGAAUAUUGGACAAUGGGCGAAAGCCUGAUCCAGCCAUGCCGCAUGAGUGAAGAAGGCCUUUGGGUUGUAAAGCUCUUUUAGUGAGGAAGAUAAUGACGGUACUCACAGAAGAAGUCCUGGCUAACUCCGUGCCAGCAGCCGCGGUAAUACGGAGAGGGCUAGCGUUAUUCGGAAUUAUUGGGCGUAAAGGGCGCGUAGGCUGGUUAAUAAGUUAAAAGUGAAAUCCCGAGGCUUAACCUUGGAAUUGCUUUUAAAACUAUUAAUCUAGAGAUUGAAAGAGGAUAGAGGAAUUCCUGAUGUAGAGGUAAAAUUCGUAAAUAUUAGGAGGAACACCAGUGGCGAAGGCGUCUAUCUGGUUCAAAUCUGACGCUGAAGCGCGAAGGCGUGGGGAGCAAACAGGAUUAGAUACCCUGGUAGUCCACGCUGUAAACGAUGAAUGUUAAAUAUGGGGAGUUUACUUUCUGUAUUACAGCUAACGCGUUAAACAUUCCGCCUGGGGACUACGGUCGCAAGAUUAAAACUCAAAGGAAUUGACGGGGACCCGCACAAGCGGUGGAGCAUGUGGUUAAUCGAUGCAACGC
rnacentral:rRNA from 1 species